rnacentral:rRNA from 1 species
UACCAGCACCCCGAGUGGUCGGGACGUUUAUUGGGCCUAAAGCAUCCGUAGCCGGUUCUACAAGUCUUCCGUUAAAUCCACCUGCUCAACAGAUGGGCUGCGGAAGAUACUAUGGAGCUAGGAGGCGGGAGAGGCAAGCGGUACUCGAUGGGUAGGGGUAAAAUCCGUUGAUCCAUUGAAGACCACCAGUGGCGAAGGCGGCUUGCCAGAACGCGCUCGACGGUGAGGGAUGAAAGCUGGGGG